UGUGAUAGAAAUUAAGUACCAUGUUAAUUUACUUCCGAAACACAUUUCUUCACUUACUCUUGUUUGCAGUUUAUAAACCUGGAGAAUAUCACACACAAAUUUCCACAACACCACGAAGUUGCUGCUGACUACAAGGUACACGAAGGGUGACAGUAUCGCAGAACCAGUAGAUGCAUUCAAAACCAGCGUGAAUCUUGUCGCUCGUGUGGCCAACAGCAGAAUUUUACGUCUUUUUCAACGCAGUUGUGAGAGAAUCCUUACACAGUGGUUCAUUAAAUUUAUCAAGAGAGGAACUGGUGAAAACUAAGUACCUGCUCCUGAUGAACGAUUGCCACCUU